rnacentral:misc_RNA from 1 species
AACGCAUAUGGCACCCGAGACUUCGGUCGAGGGUAUGUCUGUCUCAGAGUCGGUUUAUCCCGAAAUCCCCAAGGAGGUCCCACGGGCACCUUCCGAGGGGGGAGCUGGCCUCCCCGGUCCGGGUUCGCCUCCGGGCGUGCCCGAGCCGGGUGGGCCGAAGGAGAGAUACGGGGGACCGCACGCGACGGGCAAGCCACGGUUUUGGUGGGAGGACCUCGCGUCCGCAUCAUCGACCGGGCGCCCGAUCAAGGCGAGCUGGUUCUUUCCCCGCCCUUGCAGGAAACACGACUAAACCAUUCGACCUGAGAUCAGGCAAGAUCACCCGCUGAACUUAA